rnacentral:piRNA from 1 species
UGAUGUUCUUGGAUCACCUUUGGUGU